rnacentral:lncRNA from 1 species
AGACGGGGGUAAGCGUCAAUGACCAUCUCCGGUGCUACCGGCUAUCGUUUACGAUGGUCCGACCACCGACGAGCUCGGGGAUCCGGGCUUCAUCCAUCUGGGUGGUGCUUGGGCCGUGGGGAGGUCGAGGCCAUGCACAACAUCGUCCAUGGCAGAAGAUAGUGACGGUAAAGAUGGACAUGGUGCUACGACUGCAGAGAGGAAGAAA